rnacentral:rRNA from 1 species
AGACCCGAAACCCGGUGAUCUAGCCAUGGGCAGGUUGAAGGUUGGGUAACACUAACUGGAGGACCGAACCGACUAAUGUUGAAAAAUUAGCGGAUGACCUGUGGCUGGGGGUGAAAGGCCAAUCAAACCGGGAGAUAGCUGGUUCUCCCCGAAAGCUAUUUAGGUAGCGCCUCGUGAAUUCAUCUCCGGGGGUAGAGCACUGUUUCGGCUAGGGGGCCAUCCCGGCUUACCAACCCGAUGCAAACUGCGAAUACCGGAGAAUGUUAUCACGGGAGACACACGGCGGGUGCUAACGUCCGUCGUGAAGAGGGAAACAACCCAGACCGCCAGCUAAGGUCCCAAAGUCAUGGUUAAGUGGGAAACGAUGUGGGAAGGCCCAGACAGCCAGGAUGUUGGCUUAGAAGCAGCCAUCAUUUAAAGAAAGCGUAAUAGCUCACUGGUCGAGUCGGCCUGCGCGGAAGAUGUAACGGGGCUAAACCAUGCACCGAAGCUGCGGCAGCGAACGUAUCACCCAAGACAACUUUACGGAGUUGACGAUUGACGGAGCGAAGCGACGUCAAAGCGUUCAUUAAAGUCGAGUUGGCUUAGGGAUACGUUCGUUGGGUAGGGGAGCGUUCUGUAAGCCUGUGAAGGUGUGUCGUGAGGCAUGCUGGAGGUAUCAGAAGUGCGAAUGCUGACAUAAGUAACGAUAAAGCGGGUGAAAAGCCCGCUCGCCGGAAGACCAAGGGUUCCUGUCCAACGUUAAUCGGGGCAGGGUGAGUCGA